UACGAAGGGGGCUAGCGUUGCUCGGAAUUACUGGGCGUAAAGGGCGCGUAGGCGGAUGAUUAAGUUGGGGGUGAAAGCCCGGGGCUCAACCUCGGAACUGCCUUCAAAACUGGUCAUCUUGAGUUCGGGAGAGGUGUGUGGAACUCCGAGUGUAGAGGUGAAAUUCGUAGAUAUUCGGAAGAACACCAGUGGCGAAGGCGACACACUGGCCCGAUACUGACGCUGAGGCGCGAAAGCGUGGGGAGCAAACAGG
rnacentral:rRNA from 1 species